UACGUAGGUGGCGAGCGUUAAUCGGAAUAACUGGGCGUAAAGCGCACGCAGGCGGUUGGACAAGUCAGAUGUGAAAGCCCCGGGCUCAACCUGGGAACUGCAUUUGAAACUGUCUGACUAGAGUCUUGUAGAGGGGGGUAGAAUUCCAGGUGUAGCGGUGAAAUGCGUAGAGAUCUGGAGGAAUACCGGUGGCGAAGGCGGCCCCCUGGACAAAGACUGACGCUCAGGUGCGAAAGCGUGGGGAGCAAAC
rnacentral:rRNA from 1 species